rnacentral:rRNA from 1 species
GAUGGACGCUGGCGGCGUGCCUAAUACAUGCAAGUCGAGCGAACGGACGAGAAGCUUGCUUCUCUGAUGUUAGCGGCGGACGGGUGAGUAACACGUGGAUAACCUACCUAUAAGACUGGGAUAACUUCGGGAAACCGGAGCUAAUACCGGAUAAUAUUUUGAACCGCAUGGUUCAAAAGUGAAAGACGGUCUUGCUGUCACUUAUAGAUGGAUCCGCGCUGCAUUAGCUAGUUGGUAAGGUAACGGCUUACCAAGGCAACGAUGCAUAGCCGACCUGAGAGUGUGAUCGGCCACACUGGAACUGAGACACGGUCCAGACUCCUACGGGAGGCAGCAGUAGGGAAUCUUCCGCAAUGGGCGAAAGCCUGACGGAGCAACGCCGCGUGAGUGAUGAAGGUCUUCGGAUCGUAAAACUCUGUUAUUAGGGAAGAACAUAUGUGUAAGUAACUGUGCACAUCUUGACGGUACCUAAUCAGAAAGCCACGGCUAACUACGU